AGAGCGAACGCUGGCGGCAGGCCUAACACAUGCAGGUCGAGCGCCCGUAGCAAUACGGGAGCGGCAGACGGGAUAGUAACACGUGGGAACGCGCCCUUCGGUUCGGAAUAACUCAGGGAAACUUGAGCUAAUACCGGAUACGCCCUUACGGGGAAAGAUUUAUUGCCGAAGGAACGGCCCGCGUCCGAUUAGCCAGUUGGUGAGGUAAUGGCUCACCAAGGCGACGAUCGGUAGCUGGUCUGAGAGGAUGACCAGCAUCACUGGGACUGAGACACGGCCCAGACUCCUACGGGAGGCAGCAGUGGGGAAUAUUGGACAAUGGGCGCAAGCCUGAUCCAGCCAUGCCGCGUGGAUGAUGAAGGCCUUAGGGUUGUAAAGUCCUUUUAACGGGGAAGAUAAUGACGGUACCCGUAGAAUAAGCCCCGGCUAACUUCGUGCCAGCAGCCGC
rnacentral:rRNA from 1 species